AAUCUUCCGCAAUGGACGAAAGUCUGACGGAGCAACGCCGCGUGAGUGAUGAAGGUUUUCGGAUCGUAAAGCUCUGUUGUUAGGGAAGAACAAGUGCGAGAGUAACUGCUCGCACCUUGACGGUACCUAACCAGAAAGCCACGGCUAACUACGUGCCAGCAGCCGCGGUAAUACGUAGGUGGCAAGCGUUGUCCGGAAUUAUUGGGCGUAAAGGGCUCGCAGGCGGUUUCUUAAGUCUGAUGUGAAAGCCCCCGGCUCAACCGGGGAGGGUCAUUGGAAACUGGGAAACUUGAGUGCAGAAGAGGAGAGUGGAAUUCCACGUGUAGCGGUGAAAUGCGUAGAGAUGUGGAGGAACACCAGUGGCGAAGGCGACUCUCUGGUCUGUAACUGACGCUGAGGAGCGAAAGCGUGGGGAGCGAACAGGAUUAGAUACCCUGGUAGUCCACGCCGUAAACGAUGAGUGCUAAGUGUUAGGGGGUUUCCGCCCCUUAGUGCUGCAGCUAACGCAUUAAGCACUCCGCCUGGGGAGUACGGUCGCAAGACUGAAACUCAAAGGAAUUGACGGGGGCCCGCACAAGCGGUGGAGCAUGUGGUUUAAUUCGAAGCAACGCGAAGAACCUUACCAGGUCUUGACAUCCUCUGACAACCCUAGAGAUAGGGCUUUCCCUUCGGGGACAGAGUGACAGGUGGUGCAUGGUUGUCGUCAGCUCGUGUCGUGAGAUGUUGGGUUAAGUCCCGCAACGAGCGCAACCCUUGAUCUUAGUUGCCAGCAUUUAGUUGGGCACUCUAAGGUGACUGCCGGUGACAAACCGGAGGAAGGUGGGGAUGACGUCAAAUCAUCAUGCCCCUUAUGACCUGGGCUACACACGUGCUACAAUGGACAGAACAAAGGGCUGCGAGACCGCAAGGUUUAGCCAAUCCCAUAAAUCUGUUCUCAGUUCGGAUCGCAGUCUGCAACUCGACUGCGUGAAGCUGGAAUCGCUAGUAAUCGCGGAUCAGCAUGCCGCGGUGAAUACGUUCCCGGGCCUUGUACACACCGCCCGUCACACCACGAGAGUUUGCAACACCCGAAGU
rnacentral:rRNA from 1 species